rnacentral:tRNA from 1 species
AAUAAAGUGCCUGAUAAAAAGGAUCACUCUGAUACUGUGAAAAUGUAAAAUACCUUUAUUU